GAGGGGCGAAGUCAUCCCAUGUCAUACUGAGACAGCACUUUUUGAGAUGUUUGGGUCAGUUGGUUCCAGAGGCGAUGAAGUUCCUUCUCGAUGGGCUCCAAGCUGGUCACCUGCGUCUUGAAGAAACCAGCCUUCUGAAUGCUGGCUGUGCUGGUCACGUCCAAGAUGCAGGUCUUCAGGAAAGGUCCCGUCGCCCUCUUCAGAUCAUCAGCACCCUUUUCCGUGAGACACCCGGCUAGGACGCGGAAACCACGUUUGUCCAGGCGUUUACACAGUAGGUGUCCGAAACCAGAGUCACAACCGGUCACAAAGACGUGCUUCUCUGAGACCCUGGUAAUCUCAAGGUUGUCCCGGUAGAACCACACCAGAACCCACAACAGCACAAACGCACCCAAGCCGCACGUCCAUGAACAAUCGCUACUUCAGACACGUUCUUACCAGAAGUACUCAAGCAUCGUUUCUGCCUCCUGAGUGAUUCUGUGAAGAUGUUUUGUAAACAAUUGCUUUUUGGUAGAAUGCCAGUGACGUAAAAGAUAAAAAACACACAACAGUGCAAGUUUAAUUAGUGUCAGGGUGCAGUUCCUUUAAUCACCACAAUCGGCACCAUAAUCAAACAGAGAACAUACAGUUCAAAAAGGUAUUGUAAACAUAACAUAUAGGAACUUCAUAUAAAAUUGUUUCUAAAAUGUUCCGAAUAUUUUAUUAGUAUAAAAUAUGGCUAAUUUGUUUGUAUGAAUCUUCACAUCCACAUCCUUUUCUGUCAACUUGAGCGUAAAACCAUAUAUCAUACAAACCAGUUUGAGCUG